CAGCAGCCGCGGUAAAACGUAGGGGGCAAGCGUUGUCCGGAAUUAUUGGGCGUAAAGGGCUCGCAGGCGGUUUCUUAAGUCUGAUGUGAAAGCCCCCGGCUCAACCGGGGAGGGUCAUUGGAAACUGGGAAACUUGAGCGCAGAAGAGGAGAGUGGAAUUCCACGUGUAGCGGUGAAAUGCGUAGAGAUGUGGAGGAACACCAGUGGCGAAGGCGACUCUCUGGUCUGUAACUGACGCUGAGGAGCGAAAGCGUGGGGAGCGAACAGGAUUAGAUACCCCUGUAGUCCCUGUCUCUUAUAC
rnacentral:rRNA from 1 species